rnacentral:rRNA from 1 species
GAUGAACGCUGGCGGCGUGCCUAAUACAUGCAAGUCGAGCGAACAGACGAGGAGCUUGCUCCUCUGACGUUAGCGGCGGACGGGUGAGUAACACGUGGAUAACCUACCUAUAAGACUGGGAUAACUUCGGGAAACCGGAGCUAAUACCGGAUAAUAUAUUGAACCGCAUGGCUCAAUAGUGAAAGACGGUUUUGCUGUCACUUAUAGAUGGAUCCGCGCCGCAUUAGCUAGUUGGUAAGGUAACGGCUUACCAAGGCAACGAUGCGUAGCCGACCUGAGAGGGUGAUCGGCCACACUGGAACUGAGACACGGUCCAGACUCCUACGGGAGGCAGCAGUAGGGAAUCUUCCGCAAUGGGCAAAAGCCUGACGGAGCAACGCCGCGUGAGUGAUGAAGGUCUUCGGAUCGUAAAACUCUGUUAUUAGGGAAGAACAAAUGUGUAAGUAACUAUGCACGUCUUGACGGUACCUAAUCAGAAAGCCACGGCUAACUACGUG